GACCUUGUCCCCUCUUGAAUAAUUAUGACCGGUUUAGACAUUAGUGCCUCCCAUUCUCAUGAUUUAUUCAUCGGCUUCUAGCUUGCUGUGCACUGCUCUGGUCAAUCAGAGGUUGCACCGGUAGGCGUGCUAGCGAUCCAUACAUAGGUUACUGCAGUUGUGGCACAUAUGACUUUUUGUUGUGAAUCGGUCCGGCAACUAUAGUUGCUCGGUUGAAGUUACCUGCAGCGGUGGGAUUGGCUACUUCCGAGUGGCGCGUGCUGGGUGAACAUGUAGACGGUAUUCUAUUUGGCCUUUAGAUCUAUUUAUCCUUAUAUUAUGGUCGAAUUAGACUAUUGGAAAUAGAAAGUCCAUAGACAUUUCAGUUCAGUAUAUUUGGCUAGGCGGUGUAGCUUUUUUAUUCGCUCUGUUGUGGUAGUAGGCUAAAAUAACGUCAGCUGUAGCGAUCAAUUUCACUUGAGGAUCCCAAAGAAACCGUCUGGUUGCAGUUCUCUACAGCGGCUACCGGUUGUCGGCAGGCUAUUUGCUGCGACUGAUGCGAAGCGGCUAGUGAGGCUGGAGAGAGAGUCAAGCAAGAUUUCUGUGUGGUAACUGUGGCGAUCUGCUGCUGCUGUAGCCAUGUUUAGGAACAGCUUGAAGAUGUUGCUGACGGGCGGCAAGGCCAACCGCAAGAAACGCAACAGUGAUGGAGGGAGUGAGGACCUGCCAGAACCCCGAUCGCCCAGUGUAGAGCACCACCACCACCUGAGCCACACCGGUCAAGGUAGGUAGUUACACUACUGGGUGUACUCUAUUCUGUGGACCAAAUCCCCUCUCGCUCUCUUCUCCCCUC
rnacentral:lncRNA from 1 species